rnacentral:rRNA from 1 species
GCGAGCGGCCAUAGCGGCCGGGGACACACCCGGACUCAUUCCGAACCCGGAAGUUAAGCCCGGCCGCGUUCCGCGGAGUACUGAGCUCCGUAAGGGCUCGGGAAACGCGGAAGCCGCUAAGC